ACAAGUUCAACGGCCGCGGUAUUUUGACCGUGCAAAGGUAGCGCAAUCACUUGUCUUUUAAAUAGAGACCUGUAUGAAUGGCUAAACGAGGGCUUAACUGUCUCCCUUUUCAGGUCAGUGAAAUUGAUCUAUCCGUGCAGAAGCGGGUAUAACAAUACAAGACGAGAAGACCCUUUGGAGCUUAAGGUACAAAACUCAACCACGUCAAGCAACUUAAUAAAAAGUAAAAACUUUGUGAAACAUGAGAUUUUACCUUCGGUUGGGGCGACCGCGGAGGAAAAAAAAGCCUCCAAGUGGACCGGGACAAACUCCUAAAACCAAGAGAAACAUCUCUAAGCCACAGAACAUCUGACCAAACAUGAUCCGGCCACCAGGACCGAUCAACGAACCAAGUUACCCUAGGGAUAACAGCGCAAUCCCCUCCCAGAGUCCAUAUCGACGAGGGGGUUUACGACCUCGAUGUUGGAUCAGGACAUCCUAAUGGUGCAGCCGCUAUUAAGGGUUCGUUUGUUCAACGAUUAAAGUCCUACGUGAUC
rnacentral:rRNA from 1 species